UCUGUGUUGUUGUAUGUGUCGAACUGCUAUGCUUUAUCUUGGCCAGGUCGCAGUUGCAAAGGAGAAUUUGUUCUCAACUAGCCUACCUGGUUAAAUAAAGGUGAAAUAAAAAUAAUAAAAAUGCUUAAUUUGACAGGCAUUCAUUGAACUGUCAGUUAUUUGAAACAGAUCAUUAAUAGUAAAACAAAUAGUUGAACUACAUUCUUGUCAUCAAACAUUCCCGCUAGGUUUAUAUAGGCUGUACAUUACUGCUAUGCUGUCCAAUCUCUUCCAAAAACAGCUCCAACAUGACAUCAGUACAAGAACUACAGUCAUUAUACUACCAGGGAACAAACACUGGUAGGUGGCCAAUUUCAGUGUGAUAAAAUGAGCUUCACUUUUAUUCUCUCAUGUCUUCCAGUCCAUUGCAGAGUUUGACCUGAGGUGCUACACUAUGAGGUGAAGUCGGCAAAAUGCCACGAGGUGAGUUUGGCCAUGCCCCCUCAUGACCACAUCAGCUUCAACUUCCACUGCCAGCAGGAGGCUCAGGAGUGGGCCACCGUGGUGAUGUCAUCACUCAGAGAGGCACAUAGGGGUCAGUCACCACCUACAGUGGCAAGAAAAACCUUCCUGUGCCCUAAUAACCCGAGUCCUCUCCUCGUCUCCUGACCCCUCAGUGGCAGCCAGCCCUCCCACCGAUGACAGACAGCUGCCUCUGGAGGCCUUACCACGCACAGAGGAGAUGUGUGCUGAACUGACCAG